rfam:Felis catus isolate Cinnamon breed Abyssinian chromosome B4, whole genome shotgun sequence.
GCCUGGGUGGCUCAGUCGGUUGAGCGUCCGACUUUGACUCAGGUCAUGAUCUCGCAGUUUGUGGGUUCGAGCCCCACAUCAGGCU